GACGUAGGAGGCGAGCGUUAUCCGGAUUCACUGGGCGUAAAGCGCAUGUAGGCGGUUGGACAAGUCGUGUGUUAAAGCCCCUGGCUCAACUGGGGGAGGUCAUGCGAGACUGUGCGACUUGAGGGCAAGAGAGGCACGUGGAACUCCCGGUGUAGCGGUGGAAUGCGUAGAGAUCGGGAAGAACACCAGUGGCGAAGGCGACGUGCUGGGUUGCACCUGACGCUGAGGCGCGAAAGCUAGGGGAGCGAACGGG
rnacentral:rRNA from 1 species